rnacentral:rRNA from 1 species
GAUGAACGCUGGCGGCGUGCCUAAUACAUGCAAGUCGAGCGAAUGGAUUGAGAGCUUGCUCUUAUGAAGUUAGCGGCGGACGGGUGAGUAACACGUGGGUAACCUGCCCAUAAGACUGGGAUAACUCCGGGAAACCGGGGCUAAUACCGGAUAACAUUUUGAACCGCAUGGUUCGAAAUUGAAAGGCGGCUUCGGCUGUCACUUAUGGAUGGACCCGCGUCGCAUUAGCUAGUUGGUGAGGUAACGGCUCACCAAGGGAACGAUGCGUAGCCGACCUGGGAGGGUGAUCGGCCACACUGGGACGGGGAAACGGCCCAGACUCCUACGGGAGGCAGCAGUAGGGAAUCUUCCGCAAUGGACGAAAGUCUGACGGAGCAACGCCGCGUGAGUGAUGAAGGCUUUCGGGUCGUAAAACUCUGUUGUUAGGGAAGAACAAGUGCUAGUUGAAUAAGCUGGCACCUUGACGGUACCUAACCAGAAAGCCACGGCUAACUACGUGCCAGCAGCCGCAGUAA